rnacentral:rRNA from 1 species
GAUGAGCGCUGGCUACAGGCUUAACACAUGCAAGUCGAGGGGAAACGACGGGGAAGCUUGCUUCCCCGGGCGUCGACCGGCGCACGGGUGAGUAACGCGUAUCCAACCUGCCUCUGACUGAGGGAUAACCCGUCGAAAGUCGGCCUAAUACCUCAUGGCAUCGUCUGCGGGCAUCCAACGACGAUUAAAGAUUUCAUCGGUCAGGGAUGGGGAUGCGUCUGAUUAGCUUGUUGGCGGGGUAACGGCCCACCAAGGCUACGAUCAGUAGGGGUUCUGAGAGGAGGGUCCCCCACAUUGGAACUGAGACACGGUCCAAACUCCUACGGGAGGCAGCAGUGAGGAAUAUUGGUCAAUGGGCGGGAGCCUGAACCAGCCAAGUAGCGUGCAGGAUGACGGCCCUAUGGGUUGUAAACUGCUUUUAUGCGGGGAUAAAGUGAGGGACGUGUCCUUCAUUGCAGGUACCGCAUGAAUAAGGACCGGCUAAUUCCGUG